CCCAGACUCCUACGGGAGGCAGCAGUGGGGGAUAUUGCACAAUGGGGGAAACCCUGAUGCAGCGACGCCGCGUGGGUGAAGAAGCGCCUCGGCGCGUAAAGCCCUAUCGGCAGGGAAGAAGGAGGACGGUACCUGACUAAGAAGCCCCGGCUAACUACGUGCCAGCAGCCGCGGUAAUACGUAGGUGGCAAGCGUUAUCCGGAUUUACUGGGUGUAAAGGGCGUGUAGGCGGGACUGCAAGUCAGAUGUGAAAACCAUGGGCUCAACCUGUGGCCUGCAUUUGAAACUGUAGUUCUUGAGUACUGGAGAGGCAGACGGAAUUCCUAGUGUAGCGGUGAAAUGCGUAGAUAUUAGGAGGAACACCAGUGGCGAAGGCGGUCUGCUGGACAGCAACUGACGCUGAGGCGCGAAAGCGUGGGGAGCAAACAGGAUUAGAUACCCUAGUACC
rnacentral:rRNA from 1 species